rnacentral:rRNA from 1 species
GACGAACGCUGGCGGCGUGCUUAACACAUGCAAGUCGAGCGGUAAGGCUCCUUCGGGAGUACACGAGCGGCGAACGGGUGAGUAACACGUGAGCAAUCUGCCCUUCUCAUCGGAAUAAGCGCGGGAAACUGCGUCUAAUGCCGAAUAUGACUUCGGAAGGCAUCUUCUGAAGUGGAAAGCUCCGGCGGAGAAGGAUGAGCUCGCGGCCUAUCAGCUUGUUGGUGAGGUAAUGGCUCACCAAGGCAUUGACGGGUAGCCGGCCUGAGAGGGUGACCGGCCACACUGGGACUGAGACACGGCCCAGACUCCUACGGGAGGCAGCAGUGGGGAAUAUUGGACAAUGGGCGAAAGCCUGGUCCAGCAACGCCGCGUGAGGGAUGACGGCCUUCGGGUUGUAAACCUCUUUCAGCAGGGACGAAGCGAAAAUGACGGUACCUGCAGAAGAGGGACCGGCCAACUACGUGCCAGCAGCCGCGGUAACAC